GUCUGUUGAGAGCAGAGAAAUCAUUUCCAUAGAGAGGAGGCUUUGCAUCGUCAGCUGAUCUGCAGUGAACUGAGAAGGUUUAUAGUCCUGUGAGUUCAACACUGCAGCACUCAGAUCUGUCAGUCAACACAGCAGAAACCACAACCACCAUGACUCUCAUCACCAUCCUCAUCUGGACGCUGGCCUGCUGCUUUAUCAAAGGAUCUAGUAGUCAAGUGACUGUGACUCAACCUGCUGUAGUCACAUCUUCUCUUGGAUCCACAGUCACUCUGACUUGUAAAACCAACCCUAAAGUUUACGUUUGGUCAGAUGGAGAUAGUAGAGUAUACUGGUAUCAGCAGAAAUCUGGAGAAGCUCCCAAGUUGGUCAUCAGCUUGGGUAAAAAUCCCACAAGUGAGUUUUCUUCUUGAUUCUCUGGCAGAGGGGAUGGAGUGAAUGCUGCGAUGACCAUCCGUGGAGUUCAGACUGAAGAUGCAGCAGUUUAUUACUGUCAGUUACCAUGAAAUAAACAGUGCUAAGGUGUU